rnacentral:rRNA from 1 species
UCAAUUAGAUACCGUCUUACUGCUCUUCUCUAUUUAUACAAUAUUUUGUUUUCGAUGAUAUCAUUUUAAAUUUAUAUAAACACAAAAUUAAAGUUGUACAUACUUAGACAAUCGAAAGUGUACAUUAUUAAAUUAUCAUUUCCAGUUCUACUCUAGCGGAACGUAAGUUGGCUACCAUCCUCGCUAAGAACCUUUCUUGACUUGUGACAAUCGCUUGCUUCUUUCCUCUUCUUCGGCUCUCGCUUACUCAUUUAGCUCUACUAAACUCGUUGCGCUCUUUUCUCGUUUCGUCAGAUUCAAACGUUUUCACUUCGUCAAGCCAUUUUCUUUGUGUUAACUUUUAUUUUGACGUUUUAGACAUAAAAAAAAGAGACCUUGCGGUCUCAAUGCGGCUCAUCGCAUCCAUUUUUUGCCUGGCAACGUUCUACUCUAGCGGAACGUAAGUUCGACUACCAUCGACGCUAAGGAGCUUAACUUCUGUGUUCGGCAUGGGAACAGGUGUGACCUCCUUGCUAUAGUCACCAGACAUAUGAAUGUAAUUUAUACAUUCAAAACUAGAUAGUAAGUAAAAGUGAUUUUGCUUCGCAAAACAUUUAUUUUGAUUAAGUCUUCGAUCGAUUAGUAUUCGUCAGCUCCACAUGUCACCAUGCUUCCACCUCGAACCUAUUAACCUCAUCAUCUUUGAGGGAUCUUAUAACCGAAGCUGUGGAUUGUCCUUUGGACAAUGGUAGGAGAGCGUUCUAAGGGCGUUGAAGCAUGAUCGUAAGGACAUGUGGAGCGCUUAGAAGUGAGAAUGCCGGUGUGAGUAGCGAAAGACGGGUGAGAAUCCCGUCCACCGAUUGACUAAGGUUUCCAGAGGAAGGCUCGUCCGCUCUGGGUUAGUCGGGUCCUAAGCUGAGGCCGACAGGCGUAGGCGAUGGAUAACAGGUUGAUAUUCCUGUACCACCUAUAAUCGUUUUAAUCGAUGGGGGGACGCAGUAGGAUAGGCGAAGCGUGCGAUUGGAUUGCACGUCUAAGCAGUAAGGCUGAGUAUUAGGCAAAUCCGGUACUCGUUAAGGCUGAGCUGUGAUGGGGAGAAGACAUUGAGUCUUCGAGUCGUUGAUUUCACACUGCCGAGAAAAGCCUCUAGAUAGAAAAUAGGUGCCCGUACCGCAAACCGACACAGGUAGUCAAGAUGAGAAUUCUAAGGUGAGCGAGCGAACUCUCGUUAAGGAACUCGGCAAAAUGACCCCGUAACUUCGGGAGAAGGGGUGCUCUUUAGGGUUAACGCCCAGAAGAGCCGCAGUGAAUAGGCCCAAGCGACUGUUUAUCAAAAACACAGGUCUCUGCUAAACCGUAAGGUGAUGUAUAGGGGCUGACGCCUGCCCGGUGCUGGAAGGUUAAGAGGAGUGGUUAGCUUCUGCGAAGCUACGAAUCGAAGCCCCAGUAAACGGCGGCCGUAACUAUAACGGUCCUAAGGUAGCGAAAUUCCUUGUCGGGUAAGUUCCGACCCGCACGAAAGGCGUAACGAUUUGGGCACUGUCUCAACGAGAGACUCGGUGAAAUCAUAGUACCUGUGAAGAUGCAGGUUACCCGCGACAGGACGGAAAGACCCCGUGGAGCUUUACUGUAGCCUGAUAUUGAAAUUCGGCACAGCUUGUACAGGAUAGGUAGGAGCCUUUGAAACGUGAGCGCUAGCUUACGUGGAGGCGCUGGUGGGAUACUACCCUAGCUGUGUUGGCUUUCUAACCCGCACCACUUAUCGUGGUGGGAGACAGUGUCAAGCGGGCAGUUUGACUGGGGCGGUCGCCUCCUAAAAGGUAACGGAGGCGCUCAAAGGUUCCCUCAGAAUGGUUGGAAAUCAUUCAUAGAGUGUAAAGGCAUAAGGGAGCUUGACUGCGAGACCUACAAGUCGAGCAGGGUCGAAAGACGGACUUAGUGAUCCGGUGGUUCCGCAUGGAAGGGCCAUCGCUCAACGGAUAAAAGCUACCCCGGGGAUAACAGGCUUAUCUCCCCCAAGAGUUCACA